AAUCAACCUGCCUCUCAGGCUAAGGUAUGGCCUUUGUAGGCAUCUUCACAAUAGAAAUGAUAAUUCCCACUAGAACCAAAGUUGCAAUUGAAUUGAUAUAGCCUUUGUAGGCUUGGUACUGACAUUCGAUCCUUGGUGUGUCUUAAGUCAAUUGAAUUGAUAAAGUUUGUUCUUCAUUGGUUCUCCCUUCUGUUACAAUUCACUUGCCAAUUUACGGUUUGGCGGUUCUUAACUGCAGUUGAUUGCUUGUUCCUUGGGUGUGUAUUGGUUGAUUUUGGAGGUUCUUUUAGAAUGGUAUUGGAUAUUUGGUGAAUUUUUUUAGUAGUUGAAAUGUUGAAUUAAUGAAGUUCUUACAUUUGCUAAUUAAGUCAUAGACUGCAAAUGCUCGUUGUUGUUUCCUUGUGUUUGAUGGAUGAACUAACUUGAAGGCUUCUUCUUCUUCUUUUUAAAUAUAUUUUUAUCUUUCAAAAAAAAAUCCAUAACAAAAAAAUUAUUGCAAAGAAGAAACAAGAAAAAAAGGGGUGAACUUGCCAUCCAUCAAGCUAAUGGAAAAGAAAGCUUUUUUAACAUGUGCCAGAUGGUCUCGAAAGCUAGCAAGAGGAGAGAAGAACCUUAAACGUGAAGUCCUUUAGUCAUGUGUCUUUGCUAAAAUAUAUUUUUAUUUGUGUAUUUUUUUUUUACUAUGCUUUACUGAGUCUAGGAGAAUAUGUAGCCCAAAAAAAAUUUAUUGUAGUAAUAAACAAAUUGGUACGGUGUCUGUUUCUUUGUUACCUCAACUUCUGAAUAUCCUUUUUUCCCAGAUACUCAACUCAAAUCCAGAGGCUAUGUCAGAUAUGAUUACUGAAAAUGUCAGAUAUUUAUUCUAUCGGCUGUUUGAUUUGUGUACUGCAAAAUUUUUGUUUGAUAUGAAUUGCAAGUGGGUUGUGCCAGCUGUGUGGGGUUCAUAAUGUGUAGCAUUUGAACUUUGGGUGUCUUCAAUAUGUUAUGGGUAAUUUGUAAUAUUUUCUAGACAUUUUUAAUUUAAGCCUAUUUUCAUGGAGAUGAAGGAUGAUAAGAUAGAAAGGAUUUCGUGGUCAGGUGUAUACAAAUGUUUUAUUAGGGUGUGUUUGGCAGUUUUCCAUUUAGUGUAUUUGAAGGGAUUUCAGUUUGAAGGUGCAUUUGGCAGUUGGAAUUUGGUGUGUUUGGAUUUUAAUCUAAUUUAAACCCCCAUUCUAGAGGGUUUUUGAAAAUGCAGUCCUGAGGUGAGUCUCUUUUUGCAAUGUGCUCUGUUCCAAUCCUGGACUACCAUUGCCUUCUGCAACUCCUUUCUGCAAGUGUCAAAUGUGUUAUUGAUUCUGGCAGCAUUAGCAUUAGCCUAAUGAUGGCAUUAGCAUUAGUGUGGUUUUCUAUUUAUGUGGUGGAACUGAUUAUGCCAAAAGCUUGACGGGUGUGCAUGUGUUGAUCUUCUAUUUUACUUGUGCGAAUUUUAGGUGCAUUCCUUUUGUAAUUAAUCUCAUGUUGUUGUGAAUGCAGAUGGGGAUUCCAAUUCAAACUUCAUCAAAAUCAAGCCCAUGGAGAAAGCUAGCCAUAGUUCCUUGCAAGCUUGCUGGUGAUACUGUGACCUGGAGCUGAAGUUAAAGCUCUUCAAUUGUUGGUGCAGUUGGAAUAUGAGCUUGGGGCCAUGUCUUCCUUUGAUUAUAGGCAAGUUUUUAUCAACUCGGUCUGGUCAAACUUUAGAACUAAAAGGCUAAAUCUUUCCUUGAGUCCUAGUAUCCAACAUUAUGGUGCCUCUAUACUACAAAUUUUUGCUACGGCCUAUUUGCUCUUUUUCUUUUCCCGUGAGAAUCUAGUUAUAUGCAUGUUUAUAAAUCAUAAGUUGAAGUUGAGGUGACCUAUAUGCAUGUUUAUUAUUUUUUCCAGUUAUAAAUUUUCUCUGAAUUCAAGUUUCAAAAUUAUUAAUUUAUUGGGUAGUAGCAGUGCCUUUUGUAGUUAGUCCAUGACUGUUCUGCUAAUUUUUUUGGAUAACUUUACUAGUGUAUGUAAAUCAUUGUUGGCAUUUUUUAGAUGUAAAACAUUAUGCAGAUUGGUUAAAUUCUAACUGGAUGCGUUCUGUAGUAGGAUUUGUUUAUUGAUCCUGCUGUUAUUAUGGCAGGAAGCAUUAGAAAAUUUGGGCUUUUAUUUAGGUGAAGAAGAUAUGGAGUAUUCUAACUUCUCGAGUGGGACUGAACGUGCUGUAAAAACAUGGCAAGCCUCAAUGGGCACCCGUGAAGAUGGGGUUAUGACUGUAGAACUCCUAGAAAAUGCCUUUUUCUUUUCAUUGGAACUGUUCAGAUUGCAAUCUUACAAAGGGAAGCAUUUUUCCUUCCAAAAUUGUCAUUUAAAACUUCAUAUCAGAGGCAAACUUUUUGCCCCCCAUUUUUUUUUUUUAAAAAAAAAAAAAAAAAAAAAAAAAAAAAGAAGAAGAAGAAAAAAGAAGGUUGGGACUCCCUUGUAAAGGUAAAGCAAAUGAAAAUACUUUACUGCAGCCUUUGUUGUUUCCCAAACAGAUGCAAAUGUCUUGUCGAUGCAAACUGGUUGCAUUCCCUAGUUUUCAUUCUAUCUAAACAGGCCCUUAACUUUUUGAAACAGAUGCUUUCGUGCUCUCACAGCAGAAUCUCUUGCUGUUUGGCUUCACGUUUUGUAAAACUAGAAGUAAUACUAGUCUACCAACACAAACUAGAGAAAUAAGAAUCACUUAAUGUCUCUCUGCAUAAAAUGUUUUGGAUUUUGUAAAAAAAAAAUAAUAA